UUGAUCCUGGCUCAGAACGAACGUUGGCGGCGUGGUUGAGGCAUGCAAGUCGAGCGAGAAAGCCCGCUUCGGUGGGUGAGUAAAGCGGCGGAAGGGUGAGUAAUGCGUAGACAACCUGCCCUGGAGUAGGGGAUAGCCUUCCUAACGGAGGGCUAAUACCGCAUAAGACCACGCGAUCUUCGGAUCAUGGGGUAAAAGAUAGGGAUCCUUCGGGACCUUUCGCUUCAGGAGGGGUCUACGUCGCAUCAGGUAGUUGGUGAGGUAACGGCUCACCAAGCCAGCGACGCGUAGCCGGCCUGAGAGGGUGACCGGCCACAUCGGGACUGAGACACUGCCCGGACUCCUACGGGAGGCUGCAGUUCGGAAUAUUCCGCAAUGGACGAAAGUCUGACGGAGCGACGCCGCGUGCGGGAUGAAGGCCUUCGGGUUGUAAACCGCUGUCACUUGUUAGGAAAUCCAUCGGGGUUAAUAGCUCCGGUGGUUGACAAAGGCGAGAGAGGAAGCACCGGCUAAUUCCGUGCCAGCAGCCGCGGUAAUACGGAAGGUGCAAACGUUGUUCGGUGUCACUGGGCAUAAGGGCGCGUAGGUGGCUGAGCAUGUCGGGGGUGAAAGCCCCUCGCUUACCGAGGGAAUUGCCUCCGAAACUGCUUAGCUUGAGAGCCGGAGGGGUGGCCGGAACGUUGCAUGUAACGGUGAAAUGUGUAGAUAUGCAACGGAACGCCGGAGGUGAAGACGGGCCACUGGACGGUUUCUGACACUGAGGCGCGAAAGCGUGGGGAGCGAACAGGAUUAGAUACCCUGGUAGUCCACGCCGUAAACGAUGGGCACUACGUAGGGGGGGUUCUACAGCCUUCCCUGCCGCAGCAAAUGCGUUAAGUGCCCCGCCUGGGGAGUAUGGUCGCAAGGCUGAAACUCAAAGGAAUUGACGGGGGCUCACACAAGCGGUGGAGGAUGCUGCUUAAUUCGAAGCAACGCGAAGAACCUUACCCGGGCUUGAACUGCACGGAUGCCCCAUCCGAAAGGAGUAGGGCUGCCUUCGGGUGAAACGUGUAGAGGUGUUGCAUGGCUGUCGUCAGCUCGUGUCGUGAGAUGUCGGGUUAAGUCCCUUAACGAGCGAAACCCUUGUCGCUAGUUGCCAGCAGUUCGGCUGGGCACUCUAACGAGACUGCCGGUGUCAAACCGGAGGAAGGUGGGGACGACGUCAAGUCAUCAUGGCCCUUACGUCCGGGGCUGCAAGCGUCCUACAAUGGUCGGUACAAUGGGAAGCGAGAUCGCGAGAUGGAGCAAAUCCCUAAAAGCCGGCCUCAGUUCGGAUUGUGGGCUGCAAUUCGCCCACAUGAAGUCGGAAUCGCUAGUAAUCGCGCAACAGCAUGGCGCGGUGAAUAUGUUCCUGAGCAUUGUACACACCGCCCGUCAAGCCACGAAAGCCGGGGGGACGGUAAGACCUGCAUCUAACCUUCGGGAGGAAAGGGUCCAUCGUCAACCUGGUGAUUGGGACUAAGU
rnacentral:rRNA from 1 species